rnacentral:rRNA from 1 species
GAUGAACGCUGGCGGCGUGCCUAAUACAUGCAAGUCGAGCGAACAGACGAGGAGCUUGCUCCUCUGACGUUAGCGGCGGACGGGUGAGUAACACGUGGAUAACCUACCUAUAAGACUGGGAUAACUUCGGGAAACCGGAGCUAAUACCGGAUAAUAUAUUGAACCGCAUGGUUCAAUAGUGAAAGACGGUUUUGCUGUCACUUAUAGAUGGAUCCGCGCCGCAUUAGCUAGUUGGUAAGGUAACGGCUUACCAAGGCAACGAUGCGUAGCCGACCUGAGAGGGUGAUCGGCCACACUGGAACUGAGACACGGUCCAGGCUCCUACGGGAGGCAGCAGUAGGGAAUCUUCCGCAAUGGGCGAAAGCCUGACGGAGCAACGUCGCGUGAGUGAUGAAGGUCUUCGGAUCGUAAAACUCUGUUAUUAGGGAAGAACAAAUGUGUAAGUAACUAUGCACGUCUUGACGGUACCUAAUCAGAAAGCCACGGCUAACUACGUG